GCGGGCGUGGCGGAACGGCAGACGCGCCGGGUUUAGGUCCCGGUGGGCGAGAGCCCUUGGGGGUUCGACUCCCCCCGCCCGCA
rnacentral:tRNA from 1 species